rnacentral:rRNA from 1 species
AUUGAACGCUGGCGGCAGGCCUAACACAUGCAAGUCGAGCGGGGCGAGCGACGGGUGAGUAAGGCCUAGGUAUCGGCCUGGUAGUGGGGGGUGACGACCUGCUACGGGCGCUAAUACCGCCUAUUAUCAGACGGGUCUAGCUCGGAUUAGCUAGUGGGUGGGGUAAAGGCUUACCAAGGCGACGAUCCGUACCUGGUCUGAGAGGUUGAUCAGUCACACUGGAACUGAGACACGGUCCAGACUCCUACGGGAGGCAGCAGUGGGGAAUAUUGGACAAUGGGCGAAAGCCUGAUCCAGCCAUGCCGCGUGUGUGAAGAAGGUCUUCGGAUUGUAAAGCACUUUAAGUUGGGAGGCGUUACCAACAGAAUAAGCACCGGCUAACUUCGUGCCAGCAGCCGCGGUAAUAC